AGGGAAUUUUCCACAAUGGACGAAAGUCUGAUGGAGCAACGCCGCGUGAACGAUGAAGGUCUUCGGAUUGUAAAGUUCUGUUGUCAGGGACGAAUAAGUACCGUUCGAACAGGGCGGUACCUUGACGGUACCUGACGAGAAAGCCACGGCUAACUACGUGCCAGCAGCCGCGGUAAUACGUAGGUGGCAAGCGUUGUCCGGAAUUAUUGGGCGUAAAGCGCGCGCAGGCGGCUAUGUAAGUCUGGUGUUAAAGCCCGGGGCUCAACCCCGGUUCGCAUCGGAAACUGUGUAGCUUGAGUGCAGAAGAGGAAAGCGGUAUUCCACGUGUAGCGGUGAAAUGCGUAGAGAUGUGGAGGAACACCAGUGGCGAAGGCGGCUUUCUGGUCUGUAACUGACGCUGAGGCGCGAAAGCGUGGGGAGCAAAC
rnacentral:rRNA from 1 species